rnacentral:rRNA from 1 species
UACGUAGGGUGCAAGCGUUGUCCGGAAUUAUUGGGCGUAAAGAGCUCGUAGGCGGUCUGUCGCGUCGGCUGUGAAAACUCGGGGCUCAACCCCGAGCCUGCAGUCGAUACGGGCAGACUAGAGUGCUGUAGGGGAGACUGGAAUUCCUGGUGUAGCGGUGAAAUGCGCAGAUAUCAGGAGGAACACCGGUGGCGAAGGCGGGUCUCGUGGGCAGUAACUGACGCUGGAGGAGCGAAAGCGUGGGGAGCGAACAGG